UACGAAGGGGGCUAGCGUUGCUCGGAAUUACUGGGCGUAAAGGGCGCGUAGGCGGGGCGUUUAGUUAGAGGUGAAAGCCCAGGGCUCAACCCUGGAAUUGCCUUUAAUACUGGCGGCCUUGAGUAUGGCAGAGGUGUGUGGAACUCCGAGUGUAGAGGUGAAAUGCGCAGAUAUCGGGAGGAACACCGAUUGCGAAGGCAGCUCGCUGGGACGUCACUGACGCUGAGACGCGAAAGCGUGGGGAGCAAACAGG
rnacentral:rRNA from 1 species